rnacentral:misc_RNA from 1 species
UCUCCGUAGGUGAACCUGCGGAGGGAUCAUUACUGAGUGAGGGCUCACGCCCGACCUCCAACCCUUUGUGAACACAUUUUGUUGCUUCGGGGGCGACCCUGCCGGCACUCGGUCGCCGGGCGCCACCGAAGGUCUCCCAACACUGCAUCUUUGAGUCGAAGUUUAAAACAAAUUAAACAAAACUUUCAACAACGGAUCUCUUGGUUCUGGCAUCGAUGAAGAACGCAGC